rnacentral:rRNA from 1 species
AUUGAACGCUGGCGGAAUGCUUUACACAUGCAAGUCGAACGGUAGAGGGGCAACCCUUGAGAGUGGCGAACGGGUGAGUAAUGUAUCGGAACAUGCCCAGUCGUGGGGGAUAACGUAGCGAAAGUUACGCUAAUACCGCAUACGAUCUAUGGAUGAAAGCGGGGGAUCGCAAGACCUCGCGCGAUUGGAGUGGCCGAUAUCAGAUUAGGUAGUUGGUGGGGUAAAGGCCUACCAAGCCGACGAUCUGUAGCUGGUCUGAGAGGACGACCAGCCACACUGGGACGGAGACACGGCCCAGACUCCUACGGGAGGCAGCAGUGGGGAAUUUUGGACAAUGGGCGAAAGCCUGAUCCAGCCAUUCCGCGUGCAGGAAGAAGGCCUUCGGGUUGUAAACUGCUUUUGUACGGAACGAAACGCGCUGUGCUAAUACCACGGCGUAAUGACGGUACCGUAAGAAUAAGCACCGGCUAACUACGUGCCAGCCGCCGCGGUAA